AAGAAGGUUUCCACUCACGGUAGUUUCCACUCAAGAAUGAGGACAAAUUGGAGUUCUCCAAGAUCUUGGAGGCCAUCAAGGUCAACUUCAAUGACAAAUAUGAUGAAAACUGCAAAAAUUGGGGUGGUGGUAUCAUGGGCUCGAAAUCUCAAGUGAGGACAAAGG